AUUGUACUCCCUUCAUCGGGAAAUACUUGUCGCGGAAAUGGGUAUAAAUAGAUGCAUCUAAAACUAAAAAACAUCUACAUACAUCCAUUCCUCCGACAAGUAUUUUCGGACGGAGGGAGUACCUG
rfam:Triticum aestivum genome assembly, contig: Triticum_aestivum_CS42_TGACv1_scaffold_220625_3B